CCCUUCCUUCCUUCCUCCCUCCCUCUGCCUCUAUGCCUUCCCCUCUGAGUAAACACAGCCCUGUGGCGAGGCCCGCCAUGUUCUCGGAGAGCUGCACAUUGCCACCUGUUGCUAUGGAGAAGCCUCUUUAUCACAAACACUGGGAGGAUCCAAGUACAGGAUGGACAAGUGGCAGCCCAGUCCUCAUCUGUUCCCCGCCCCUGCACACACCAGGAGUGAUGGAAUGUGGCAGACCCAGGCUCUCUGCUCCCCAGCCUGACUCCCAGAUCCAUAACAUUUUCGACGUGAACAGUCUUCAGAGGUGCAGCCUGAAGCCGCAGGGAAAUGAACUUGGUGCCCCCCUUGCCCCACCCCCAAGACCCCCAAGGAGAAGCUGUCUCCAGGAAAGGUGGGGGG